AAAGCUGCUUUACGGGCAGGCUGCUCCUUGCUUGCAGCUUCGUCCCGUUGCUGCAGGUGUCGGGGCCCCACGAGCAGGGUCGGCAGCACCACGGCUGACUAUCGGUUUCUGUUCUGGGCUGUGAGUCUACGCGCGGGACAGGGAGGAGCUCUGCAUUCAUUGGGGGAGAAACAAAUUUGUUGCAAAGCGCCGGCUGCCUGGCAUCACUUUCUUCCUCGCCCCCGUCGGUGCACCGAGGUGAGCGCAGCCCCGGGGAGCGGCUCCCGGCGCCUCCGAGCGCUGCGUGUCCCAGCACGGUGCCAGCAGCUCUCUUGGCACACCUGGGGCUCGGACGCGGGGCUUCUGCGAGGACGAGCCUUCCUGACUGCUGCCCCCUCCUUUCGCAGCCUGGCUCUCGACGAUGGCCGUCCCCACCGUGGUGACCCUGCAGCCCCAGGCGGUGGCCAUGGCCACCAGCGCCAAGCCUAUGUGGCAGACGGGGCUGAUGGAUUGUUUCACCGACUGGAGCGUCUGUUGCUGCGGGCUGUUCUGCUUCCCCUGCUUGGCCUGCACGGUGGCCGGCGACAUGAACGAGUGCUGCCUCUGCGGGACCAGCGUGGCCAUGAGGACCCUGUAUCGCACCCGCUACAACAUCCCGGGCUCCAUUUGCUCCGACUGCUGCAUCUCCUCCUGCUGCCUCGUGUGCUCCGUCUGCCAGAUCAAGAGGGACAUCAAUCGGAGGAGAGCGAUGGGCAUCUUCUGAUGCCAUAGAGAUGACACCACCUCUGCGUUGUGGGAAAGGGGCACGGAGCCACCUGUGACCAUUGCAUGUCUCCCCUUCAUUCAUGUCCCCAAUAAAGAGCAAUGUUUGCCUUGCCUCUAUGUCUUG
rnacentral:lncRNA from 1 species